GCCAGCAUAGUGUAGUGGUAUGAGUGUUGGAUUACCACUCUGAAGACCUGGGUUUGAUUCCCACUCUGCCA
rnacentral:tRNA from 1 species